UUUUACAAGUCUGGUAAUUGGAAUGAGUACAAUCUAAAUCCCUUAACGAGGAUCAAUUGGAGGGGAAGUCUGGUGCCAGCAGCCGCGGUAAUUCCAGCUCCAAUAGCGUAUAUUUAAGUUGUUGCAGUUAAAAAGCUCGUAGUUGGAUUUCGGGCGGGGCCUGCUGGUCCGCCUCACGGUGUGCACUGGCACGGCCCCGCCUCGCUGUCGGGGACGGGCUCCUAGGCUUAACUGUCCGGGACUCGGAGUCGACGAGGUUACUUUGAGUAAAUUAGAGUGUUCAAAGCAGGCCUACGCUCUGAAUACGUUAGCAUGGAAUAACACGAUAGGACUCUGGCCUAUCUUGUUGGUCUGUGGGACCGGAGUAAUGAUUAAGAGGGACGGUCGGGGGCAUUCGUAUUUC
rnacentral:rRNA from 1 species